AAGUCGUAACAAGGUAACCGUAGGUGAACCUGCGGUUGGAUCAUUAUAAAACUUUGGAUUCGUUUGGAAAGAACACUCGGAUCUCUGUGACCAGUUUUCAAGUACGAAUGAAACUCCCUUUCGAAAAGGGGGUACCCACAUUGUGUGAACCUGUACAUUUCCCUCUCCGGGGAUGUCUUGUGCUCAACUUUUGUGUUUUGGGGAAUGCUUCUGAGAGUUCGACUGGGGCAGAUGUUCCGGUCUUUUUUGAACACAAUCUUUCAAAAACAACUUUUGGCAACGGAUCUCUUGGCUCUC
rnacentral:misc_RNA from 1 species